rnacentral:lncRNA from 1 species
CCUAUUAAUCACAGCCUAAAAAUCCCUAUUAAUCAUGUUCUUAAGUUUAGUGGCUUAAGUCUUAUUUGAUAUUGUCGCCGAUAAUAGAUAUAAGACUGUAACUGGUAGACAAGUGAUUCUCUUUGUUUCAGAAAGAUCAAAAAGGCUUUGAUGGACGUUAUUUUGCUUUUGCCUGAGUUCGAUGAGUUUACGGACUAAUUCGACUGGUUAUUCAAGUAAAUCAAAUGGUAUAUAAAAUAUUCCAAAGUAUUCUA